rnacentral:tRNA from 1 species
UGCGUGGUAGUGAAACGGAUAUAUAGAUCACGUUGGCCUCAUAAGCCGAAGAUUGUGGGUUCGAUUCCCACUCACGCAUCCA